GCAGGGCAACAGUCUGACGCCCCAGCUAGCAUAGUAUCCCAGGCAGCAGUCCAAGGGGAAAUUGGACCGGAUUUGGCCGCCACCGCCCAGGGCAGGCGGGCCGAGCUCUGGCCAGACACAGGGGCCCCGGGCUUCCAGACCGGGGGGUCAUGUGACCGGGCUGUCCCAGCGCUGGGAAGCGGCCAGUCGCCCCAGUACAGACCAGUCGUAAUCAUUGACCAGAUGACCUUUGACCUCUGAAAGGACCACGGCAACCUUGCUGCACCGACCGAUGUGGACGACCUGAUUUCUGAAACACAUCAAACUCUGUUGUCAUGACGAUGCGUUCCGUAAUGUCAACGGUGUUGUCAUGGCGUUCCUGUUCCAUUCCGUUCUCUUGAGUAGCUUUGUUCAUCUUAUUUUGCUCUCAACUGUGUUCUCUAGAUCCCAUUCAGACAGGCUUUGGAUUAAAUGUAUACUCAUAAAGUUUGUAUAAAUCCCUAUUUUAUAGCUCAAAUUGACAUGCAAGUAAAGAAAUAUCAUGAGUACAUCUGGAA
ensembl:lncRNA